rnacentral:tRNA from 1 species
UUGGUUCAAGUCCCUCUAUCCCCAA